CGCGUACGUCAGCGCGCACGUUGCCUGACGGUCGGCGCGCUCUCCUCCGCUCUUCUCAGAAGAAGGGGAGAAGUUCGAAUCGAGUUUGUGGAGCGGGCCAUCCAAUGAGGGCUCACGCCGGCUGAGGAGGCGGCCUGGGAGAACCAAGCAGCGGAACACUCGGAGGGAGAGAAAGGCGGCAGCUCCCGGGGCCACGCGGCCGCUGAUUGGCCCGUUUGAAUGAGACGCCGCUACGGCUCGGGACAAAUACUUGAGAAAAAUACUUAUUUUAGCUCAUGGUUUCUGAAGUUUCAGUCCUCUGUGGUGAAGGUGUGGAGUAAAGAAGCUGAUCAGAAUCAUGACAACAAGGAAGCAUAAGAAGAGAUACACCUUCAGAAAAUGGUUCCUCCCUCUUUUCCUCCCACAUACACUUCUGUUAAGUUUUUUGAGAGACAGAAUUUCACUAUGUAGCCAUAGCUGGCCAGGAGCUCUUGUGUAGACCAGCCUGGCCAUGAAUUCACAGAGAUCACCGGACCCUACUUCCUGACCUCACCCUGAACUCAUUCCCGUUACCCAUCAUUUAGCCUAUGGGAUGAUACUACCCACAUUCAGGUCCCUCACCCUUAGUUAACCUCCUGGACCUGCCCUCCAUAUACACCUAGAGUCACUUCCAUUGAACUAUGAUAGCAUGGCAGAGAUCCAGAGAGAAUUACACUGUCUCCAGGAAUCCCGGGCUUGGGAGAGAACAGGCUGACUCCAGAGUAAUAGCAACUCAUCUUGCAGGAAGACAUUUUACAGUUCUGACAACCUGUCUCAAAGCUAAAUCUGCAUGAGCAUAUUUCCUGAGUCUUGUUUCCUAUUUUCUGUAAAACUGUGGCUUUGUUAAAGGGAAAGCAGAAAGAAACCAAGGACCCUUUUUCCUGACUAAUUCUGGCCGUAGUUGUAAUGAAACCUAUUUUCUUUCACCAAUUCUUUUUUAAAAAGAAUUUAUUUAUUAUGCACAUGAGUGCUUUGCCUGUAUGUAUAUAUGUAUGUAUGUAUGUGUACUACAUGCAUACCUGGUGGCCAGGAAGUUUAGAAGAGGGUGUCAGAUCCCCUAGAACUGGAGUUACUGAUUGUUGUGGACCACCAUGUGUUGCUGGCGACUGAACUUAGGUCUUCUGUAAGAGCAACGGGUGCUCUUAAUCACUAAACCAUUUGUUCAGUGUCAGAACAGGGUCCAGGAACUGAGUGCUUGUAAGAAUACUCUAAAAAAACAGGUCUUGUAACCUCAGUUUCUUAAUAGAAUUGUUCUUGGAAUGUGUUUUGAUGUUCCUGUGUUCUCCCCAUGUGUAGUGGCUAGGAGUGAGUUUGCUUACUGGUGUUAUUAAAUUAAAUGUUUUAACUAUUCUUUAUAUAUCUCUAUGGAAAAACAUGUUUUUUGCCUUGUGUAGUUUGUCCUUGUGAUUGUAUGUAGCUUGAACUCAUGAUAACUUUACUCACAUGACCUUUUUUUUUUUUUUUUCCUUCAUGGUACAAUUGAGGGGUUCUCAAUCCUCAGGGCAUAAAUCAGAGGUUUCUUUGGGAAGGGAGUCAAAAGAUCCUUUCACAGGGCUUGCCUAAGACCAUUGGAAAACACAGAUCUCUACAUUAUAGUUCAUAACAGUAGCAAAAUUACAAUUAUGAAGUAGUAAUAAAAAUUUUAUGGUUGGGGGUCAUCACAACAUCAGGAACUAUAUUAAAGGGUCACAACAUUAGGAAGGUUGAGAGCAACUGGAAUUAUUGUCUGAGGCUUUGAAUAAAGUUUGCUGUUGCAAGAGA